rnacentral:rRNA from 1 species
GAUGAACGCUGGCGGCGUGCCUAAUACAUGCAAGUCGAGCGAACGGACGAGAAGCUUGCUUCUCUGAUGUUAGCGGCGGACGGGUGAGUAACACGUGGAUAACCUACCUAUAAGACUGGGAUAACUUCGGGAAACCGGAGCUAAUACCGGAUAAUAUUUUGAACCGCAUGGUUCAAAAGUGAAAGACGGUCUUGCUGUCACUUAUAGAUGGAUCCGCGCUGCAUUAGCUAGUUGGUAAGGUAACGGCUUACCAAGGCAACGAUGCAUAGCCGACCUGAGAGGGUGAUCGGCCACACUGGAACUGGAACACGGUCCAGACUCCUACGGGAGGCAGCAGUAGGGAAUCUUCCGCAAUGGGCGAAAGCCUGACGGAGCAACGCCGCGUGAGUGAUGGAGGUCUUCGGAUCGUAAAACUCUGUUAUUAGGGAAGAACAUAUGUGUAAGUAACUGUGCAUAUCUUGACGGUACCUAAUCAGAAAGCCACGGCUAACUACGUG